UACGUAGGGUGCGAGCGUUGUCCGGAAUUACUGGGCGUAAAGAGCUCGUAGGUGGUUUGUCGCGUUGUUCGUGAAAACCGGGGGCUUAACCCUCGGCGUGCGGGCGAUACGGGCAGACUUGAGUACUGCAGGGGAGACUGGAAUUCCUGGUGUAGCGGUGGAAUGCGCAGAUAUCAGGAGGAACACCGGUGGCGAAGGCGGUUCUCUGGGCAUGACCUGACGUGAGGUGCGAAAGCUAGGGUAGCAAACGGG
rnacentral:rRNA from 1 species